rnacentral:rRNA from 1 species
GCAGUCGAGGAUCUUUAGCAAUGGGCGAAAGCCUGACUAUGCGACGCCGCGUGAGGGGUGAAGGUUUUCGGAUCGUAAACCUCUUUCGAUGGGGAAGAAGCUCCUCGGCAAUAACACUGCCGAGGGUUGACGGUACCUAGAGAAGAAGCCACGGCCAACUCCGUGCCAGCAGCCGCGGUAAUACGGGGGUGGCGAGCGUUACUCGGAUUCAUUGGGUGUAAAGGACAGGUAGGCGGCUAUGUAAGUUGGAGGUGAAAUCCUGCGGCUCAACCGCAGAACUGCCUUCAAAACUGCAUGGCUUGAGGCUAGAAGAGGAGAGCGGAAUUCCCGGUGUAAGGGUGAAAUCUGUAGAUAUCGGGAGGAACACCAGUGGCGAAGGCGGCUCUCUGGUUUAGCCCUGACGCUGAUCUGUGAAAGCUAGGGGAGCAAACAGGAUUAGAUACCCUAGUAGU